rnacentral:lncRNA from 1 species
UUUUACAGAGGUGAGAUGUACUUAAAUGUCAGGACUUAAAAGAAAUUUUAAUUACUUUAUUGAAAACUGCACUGAAUGCUAAAAUGUCCACCUUUACAAUAAACAAAUACAGUAACGAUAACUCACACUAAAACAAAACAUUUCUGAUAGCCAUUAUUUUUCUGUUUGGGACAGUUUAAAGUUUUUUUUUUCUUUUGUGUCACAAAAACAGGAAUGUACCUAUACAAAGGCUCAAAAUAGGCCAUCUUUAAAAACAAAAAGGCAAUGAUUCACAAAAGACUAUGAAUAGAACAUGUAACUAGCUGAUACAAAUCUAAUAGGAUUUGUUAAAAUCAGUCACAUCUAAUAGCACAUCUGAAGUGUUCUUGUAUAAAAUAUCACGUGAAGAAAAGAAUUUAUCAAUGUCUAAAAAAGUGGGUUUGUUCAUAGACAAUCUGACAAGUUACCAUAAAAAGUGUUUCCUGAGACAUAAGGAAAUGCAACAUUAUUCUUCUUGAACCCUUCUCGUCCAAGACUUUCCACUCAAUAAAAUAGCUGAGGAUCUGAAACUGAGAAAAUAGAUUUGAGUACAAACAGCUUGUGAAACUUAAUACUUUUUUCUUUUUUUUUUUUUUUUGUUUUUUUGUUUUUUUUUUUUUUUUGUAUCAGAGGGUUUUACUGAACCGACUCUGCUGCUCAGAUGUGAAACCUUCUGUAUAGGAGCUUUUACUUCUUCAAUCCUGUGCGUGGAGAUGUCUACACAGGCAAACAAUGUCCUCCCCAUCUUGGCUUAAUUUUAAUCUUCCUAUCAGCAGAGGCACCAGCCCCUGGAGACCAAAGGGACUAGUCUUGAUGGGGAUUUCCUCUCAACUUUUUAUUGAUAUUCGGAGCUCUUGAUGCAACAUUCUAGAGCAAGCUCUGCAGGACCUGCUGUGCCCAGGGGAUUGAUAAAGGAAAAGCUCUAUUUAUUCUUUGUGAUUUGAUGCACAGAUGAAAAACUUAACACACAAUAACAGAAGUUGGUCGUUAAUAAUCACGUCCUAGUCUUCCCACACCUCUGGAAGCAGAUACCAUCUUCAGUUUUCUAGCUUUUGUAGCUUUAACACUGCAGUAUCAGUGAUGUCCAGGAUCAGUUUAAAAGACCAUCAAAUUCAUCCGUUUUCUACUGUCUCUUGGUCCCAAGUUUAUCGGAUUAGCUUCAGGCAUUCUCUGCUAUUGCUCGUUGGGGUGCUCUCGAUUGUCCCCGUGUUUUGUGGGCUGGUUGGGGGAAGGAGCUUGGGAGGGGUGUGCCACUGUGGGGAGGUUGUGAGUCACGGGGAUGCCCCCAGGGAUGAUCCCUUCCAUCGCUGGAGGAAGCCCUCCUGGAGCCACACCUACAAUGCCGGGUGGAUACCUAAGGAACACAGAAAAAAGGUCUUAAGUUCAGGCCAGUACACAAAGGUUUGUUAUCCUUAACCCAAAGUACCAGUUAAGAUCAAGGUUUCCUUUGGAAAAUAGCCAGUCAGGUAAAGUGACUUUGUGAUGACCCUGUUUAUUUCACAAAGUACUUAAAGUGGCUACUAAGCUCGUUUCCUUCCUAAAUUUUCAUGUUCAAAUCUUAAUCUCUAAUAUACUGAGAAGAUGGAAGUUUGGGGUAAAUGGGGACAGUGGGGCAUAUUUAUGUCUUGGCCUGAAUUUUCCCUUCCAGAAAUGAGGAAUGGCCUCGUAAGUCACUCCUGAGAUGGCUGAAACCUCUAGGAUAGCUAGUUAGUCCUAUGUUCCCAGGAGAGGAUGGCUGUGCCUUUCUCUGUAUGUGGAGACAUUCAUUAGGCACUAUGCAUGAGCUGCCUACAGAGCAUAUGGUUCUUACAAUGUGAGUCAACGUAUUUAGUUACCAAACCCUUUGUAACUGAGGGUUAUAUCUCACUGUGGAAGCCAGGACCUCUCAGCACCAUUCAUUUUAAGAGUCUCCUGCCAGGCGGUGGUGGCUCAUGACUUUAAUCCCAGCACUUGGGUGGCAGAGGAAGUCUUAUAAGCCCUGGCACCUUGAAGCCCUAUGAAUUGUUCUAGAGGGCCAAAGAGAUUUCUGAGUUGAAGGAAGAGAGGGGCUUUUAGGGUGGGCACUAACAUGAAUGAACAAGAUUAUAAUGUGCACAAUUAUGCCUGAGGGCAGGAGAUAAGAUUGGCUGGCCUGGUGGCUCACCAGAACUCAAGGUCAUGAAGGUUUCCAUGAGUUUGAGGCUAACUUGGACUAGAGUAGGACUAUGACAUGAAAGAAAGAAAGAAUGUCAACAAAAAUGGAGCCUGGGUAGAAUAAAAGGGCCAUGUGAUCCAGAAGCGUCAGAGCCUUCACAGAGUAAACCCAGUCUCAUCGUUCUAACUUGUUCAAGCACCAGAACUUGAACAGUCGUCAUGGCAGCAUUAAAGUACAUCAGUAAAACAUGGUUUGGUCCACGUGGUGCUGAGUAUUCAGAGAGCCAAAGGAUACCUUUAAAAAAGGCAGCUUCUCGUUUCCCUAGAAGCCAGCAAUGAUGGAGAAGUCGAUCAUGAUGACCCCCACAAGUGACACUACUGCUUCCUAGACAGAAGAGUCAAACCAGAAAAUGCUGAUCUGAUUUAAGAGGUUGCAGAGUCUGCAGUGGCCUCCCAUGAAGGUGGUUCUACCUGGGAUUAUUACCUUAAACUCAAGAGGACUACAAUGGAGCCCUUCUUGUCUGCAUCUCCUAUUCAUUCUGCAUGGAAUUUGCUGGGCUGAUCAUACACAUAUAAACGACAUGCAAGGUUUGAAGCCAGUUUGAGCAUAUACUGUCUCAACC